rnacentral:rRNA from 1 species
CCUACGGGAGGCAGCAGUGAGGAAUAUUGCACAAUGGGCGCAACUCUGAUGCAGCGACGCCGCGUGCGUGAAGACGUCUUUCGGUAUGUAAAGCUCUAUCUGCAGGGAAGAAAAUGACGGUACCUGACUAAGAAGCAAAGGCUAACUACGUGCCAGCAGCCGCGGUAACACGCAGGGGGCAAGCGUUAUCCGGAUUUACUGGGUGUAAAGGGAGCGUAGACGGCGCGGCAAGUCUGAAGUGAAAGGCAGGGGCUGAACCCCGGAACUGCUUUGGAAACUGCCAGGCUAGAGUGCUGGAGAGGUAGGUGGAAGUCCUGGUGUAGCGGUGAAAUGCGUAGAGAUUAGGAGGAACACCAGUGGCGAAGGCAGCUUACUGGACAAUAACUGACGUUGAGGCUCGAAAGCGUGGGGAGCAAACAGGAUUAGAUACCCCUGUAGUC